CUACAUUUUUACUGUAGCUUCAGGGAAGAGAAGUGUCUGUCUCAUCUUGGCUGGAGUUCUGAGAUUAUUUAAAUUCAAAGUUCAGGAGGAACAACAUAUAAAUCCAGAGAACACAGGAGAUCUGAGAAUGAAGCUCACUCAGACAGAUCCGGGAAAAUUUGUCGGGCAACUGAAUUCAGCUGCAAAGGAAGAAGGUCGCUGAUAGAAACAUGGUCUUAUGGAAGAAACAGAGCCCCUGGGAGGGAAAUCCCCAUAAGGAAUGAAGCGAGGACUGUUCAACAACCGUACCUACAUCUUUGAGGCAAAGGGUGAUUUCUGGAUAAAACAUGAUGGCGAACAGUGCAAAGGAAACAGUCAACAAAACAAAGAGGCAACCCACGGAAUGGGAGAAGAUAUUCGUAAAUUACAGUACAGACGAAGGGCUGAUACCCAGGAUCUAUAAAGAACUUCUCAAACUCAACCCACACAAAACAGAUAAUCAUGUCAAAAAAUGGGCAGAAGACAUGAGCAGACACUUCUCCAAAGAAGACAUACAAAGGCUAACAGACACAUGAAAAAAUGUUCAUCAUCAUUAGCCCUCAGAGAGAUUCAAAUCAAAACCACAUUGAAAUACCACCUCACACCAGUUAGAAUGGCCAAAAUCAACAGGACAGGAGACAACAAGUGUUGGAGAGGAUGUGGAGAAAGGGGAACCCUCUUACACUGUUGGUGGGAAUGCAAGUUGGUGCAGCCACUUUGGAAAACACUGUGGAGAUUCCUUAAGAAAUUAAAAAUAGAACUACCCUAGACCCUGCAAUUGCACUUCUGGGUAUUUACCCCAAAGAUACAGAUGUAGUGAAAAGAAGGACCAUCUGUACCCCAGUGUUCAUAGCAGCAAUGACCACAGUCACAAAACUGUGGAAAGAACCAAGAUGCCCUUCAAUGGACGAAUGGAUAAAGAAGAUAUGGUCUAGGGGCACCUGGGUGGCUCAGUAGGUUAAGCCUCUGCCUUUGGCUCAGGUCAUGAUCUCAGGGUCCUGGGAUCGAGCCUCACAUCAGGCUCUCUGCUCAGGGGGGAGCCUGCUUCCCCUUUUCUCUCUGCCUGCCUCUCUGCCUACUUAUGAUCUCUGUCAAAUAAAUAAAUAAAAUCUUUUUUAAAAAAGAUAUGGUCCAUAUAUAUAAUGGAGGAUUAUGCCUCUAUCAGAAAGGAUGAAUACCUAACUUUUGUAUCAACAUGGACAGGACUGGAAGAGAUUAUGCUGAGUGAAAUAAGUCAAGCAGAAAGAGUCAGUUAUCAUAUGGUUUCACUUACUUGUGGAGCAUAACGAAUAACACGGAGGACAUUGGGAGUUGAAGAGGCGAAGUGAGUUGGGGGAAAUCGGAGGGGGAGAUGAACCAUGAGAGACUGUGGACUCUGAGAAACAAACUGAGGGUUUUGGAGGGGAGGGGAGUGGGGGGUUGGGUGAGCCUGGUGGUGGGUAUUAUGGAGGGCAC